AUUGAACGCUGGCGGCAGGCCUAACACAUGCGAGUCGAGCGGAUGAAGGGAGCUUGCUCCUGGAUUCAGCGGCGGACGGGUGAGUAAUGCCUAGGAAUCUGCCUGGUAGUGGGGGAUAACGUCCGGAAACGGGCGCUAAUACCGCAUACGUCCUGAGGGAGAAAGUGGGGGAUCUUCGGACCUCACGCUAUCAGAUGAGCCUAGGUCGGAUUAGCUAGUUGGUGGGGUAAAGGCCUACCAAGGCGACGAUCCGUAACUGGUCUGAGAGGAUGAUCAGUCACACUGGAACUGAGACACGGUCCAGACUCCUACGGGAGGCAGCAGUGGGGAAUAUUGGACAAUGGGCGAAGGCCUGAUCCAGCCAUGCCGCGUGUGUGAAGAAGGUCUUCGGAUUGUAAAGCACUUUAAGUUGGGAGGAAGGGCAGUAAGUUAAUACCUUGCUGUUUUGACGUUACCAACAGAAUAAGCACCGGCUAACUUCGUG
rnacentral:rRNA from 1 species